rnacentral:rRNA from 1 species
CAUGCCGCGUGUAUGAAGAAGGCCUUAGGGUUGUAAAGUACUUUCAGCGGGGAGGAAGGUGAUAAGGUUAAUACCCUUAUCAAUUGACGUUACCCGCAGAAGAAGCACCGGCUAACUCCGUGCCAGCAGCCGCGGUAAUACGGAGGGUGCAAGCGUUAAUCGGAAUUACUGGGCGUAAAGCGCACGCAGGCGGUCAAUUAAGUCAGAUGUGAAAGCCCCGAGCUUAACUUGGGAAUUGCAUCUGAAACUGGUUGGCUAGAGUCUUGUAGAGGGGGGUAGAAUUCCAUGUGUAGCGGUGAAAUGCGUAGAGAUGUGGAGGAAUACCGGUGGCGAAGGCGGCCCCCUGGACAAAGACUGACGCUCAGGUGCGAAAG